rnacentral:rRNA from 1 species
CCAAUAGCGUAUAUUAAAGUUGUUGUGGUUAAAAAGCUCGUAGUUGAACCUUGGGCCUGGCUGGCCGGUCCGCCUCACCGCGUGUACUGGUCCGGCCGGGCCUUUCCCUCUGUGGAACCUCAUGCCCUUCACUGGGUGUGGCGGGGAAACAGGACUUUUACUUUUAAAAAAUUAGAGUGCUCCCGGCAGGCCUAUUCUCGAAUGCAUUAGCAUUGAAUAACAAAAUAGGACGUGUGGUUCUAUUAUGUUGGUUUCUAGGACCGCCGUAAUGAUUAAUAGGGACAGUCGGGGGCAUCAGUAUUCAAUUGUCAGAGGUGAAAUUCUUAGAUUUAUUGAAGACUAACUACUGCGAAAGCAUUUGCCAAGGAUGUUUUCAUUAAUCAGGAACGAAAGUUAGGGGAUCGAAGACGAUCAGAUACCGUCGUAGUCUUAACCAUAAACUAUGCCGACUAGGGAUCGGACGAUGUUAUUUUUUGACGCGUUCGGCACCUUACGA